rnacentral:rRNA from 1 species
AGUGAACGCUGGCGGUAGGCCUAACACAUGCAAGUCGAACGGCAGCACAGGAGAGCUUGCUCUCUGGGUGGCGAGUGGCGGACGGGUGAGGAAUACAUCGGAAUCUACUCUGUCGUGGGGGAUAACGUAGGGAAACUUACGCUAAUACCGCAUACGACCUACGGGUGAAAGCAGGGGACCUUCGGGCCUUGCGCGAUUGAAUGAGCCGAUGUCGGAUUAGCUAGUUGGCGGGGUAAAGGCCCACCAAGGCGACGAUCCGUAGCUGGUCUGGGAGGAUGAUCGGCCACACUGGAACUGAGACACGGUCCAGACUCCUACGGGAGGCAGCAGUGGGGAAUAUUGGACAAUGGGCGCAAGCCUGAUCCAGCCAUACCGCGUGGGUGAAGAAGGCCUGCGGGUUGUAAAGCCCUUUUGUUGGGAAAGAAAUCCAGCUGGCUAAUACCCGGUUGGGAUGACGGUACCCAAAGAAUAAGCACCGGCUAACUUCGUGCCAGCCGCCGCCGUAA